rnacentral:rRNA from 1 species
GAUGAACGCUGGCGGCGUGCUUAACACAUGCAAGUCGAGCGAAGCGGUUUAAAUGAGACUUCGGUGGAUUUUAAAUUGACUGAGCGGCGGACGGGUGAGUAACGCGUGGAUAACCUGCCUCACACAGGGGGAUAACAGUUAGAAAUGACUGCUAAUACCGCAUAAGCGCACGGCAUCGCAUGAUGCAGUGUGAAAAACUCCGGUGGUGUGAGAUGGAUCCGCGUCUGAUUAGGUAGUUGGUGAGGUAACGGCCCACCAAGCCGACGAUCAGUAGCCGACCUGAGAGGGUGACCGGCCACAUUGGGACUGAGACACGGCCCAAACUCCUACGGGAGGCAGCAGUGGGGAAUAUUGCACAAUGGGCGAAAGCCUGAUGCAGCGACGCCGCGUGAGUGAAGAAGUAUUUCGGUAUGUAAAGCUCUAUCAGCAGGGAAGAAAAUGACGGUACCUGACUAAGAAGCCCCGGCUAACUACGUGCCAGCCGCCGCAGUAAAAC